rnacentral:rRNA from 1 species
UGCUGGAGGUAUCAGAAGUGCGAAUGCUGACAUAAGUAACGAUAAAGCGGGUGAAAAGCCCGCUCGCCGGAAGACCAAGGGUUCCUGUCCAACGUUAAUCGGGGCAGGGUGAGUCGACCCCUAAGGCGAGGCCGAAAGGCGUAGUCGAUGGGAAACGGGUUAAUAUUCCCGUACUUGGUGUUACUGCGAAGGGGGGACGGAGAAGGCUAUGUUGGCCGGGCGACGGUUGUCCCGGUUUAAGCGUGUAGGUGUGUGUUCCAGGUAAAUCCGGUUCACUUUAACACUGAGGCGUGACGACGAGGCACUACGGUGCUGAAGCAACAAAUGCCCUGCUUCCAGGAAAAGCCUCUAAGCAUCAGGUAACAUCAAAUCGUACCCCAAACCGACACAGGUGGUCAGGUAGAGAAUACCAAGGCGCUUGAGAGAACUCGGGUGAAGGAACUAGGCAAAAUGGUGCCGUAACUUCGGGAGAAGGCACGCUGACACGUAGGUGAAGUGAUUUACUCAUGGAGCUGAAGUCAGUCGAAGAUACCAGCUGGCUGCAACUGUUUAUUAAAAACACAGCACUGUGCAAACACGAAAGUGGACGUAUACGGUGUGACGCCUGCCCGGUGCCGGAAGGUUAAUUGAUGGGGUCAGCGCAAGCGAAGCUCCUGAUCGAAGCCCCGGUAAACGGCGGCCGUAACUAUAACGGUCCUAAGGUAGCGAAAUUCCUUGUCGGGUAAGUUCCGACCUGCACGAAUGGCGUAAUGAUGGCCAGGCUGUCUCCACCCGAGACUCAGUGAAAUUGAACUCGCUGUGAAGAUGCAGUGUACCCGCGGCAAGACGGAAAGACCCCGUGAACCUUUACUAUAGCUUGACACUGAACAUUGAGCCUUGAUGUGUAGGAUAGGUGGGAGGCUUUGAAGUGUGGACGCCAGUCUGCAUGGAGCCGACCUUGAAAUACCACCCUUUAAUGUUUGAUGUUCUAACGUGGACCCGUAAUCCGGGUUGCGGACAGUGUCUGGUGGGUAGUUUGACUGGGGCGGUCUCCUCCUAAAGAGUAACGGAGGAGCACGAAGGUUGGCUAAUCCUGGUCGGACAUCAGGAGGUUAGUGCAAUGGCAUAAGCCAGCUUGACUGCGAGCGUGACGGCGCGAGCAGGUGCGAAAGCAGGUCAUAGUGAUCCGGUGGUUCUGAAUGGAAGGGCCAUCGCUCAACGGAUAAAAGGUACUCCGGGGAUAACAGGCUGAUACCGCCCAAGAGUUCAUAUCGACGGCGGUGUUUGGCACCUCGAUGUCGGCUCAUCACAUCCUGGGGCUGAAGUAGGUCCCAAGGGUAUGGCUGUUCGCCAUUUAAAGUGGUACGCGAGCUGGGUUUAGAACGUCGUGAGACAGUUCGGUCCCUAUCUGCCGUGGGCGCUGGAGAACUGAGGGGGGCUGCUCCUAGUACGAGAGGACCGGAGUGGACGCAUCACUGGUGUUCGGGUUGUCAUGCCAAUGGCACUGCCCGGUAGCUAAAUGCGGAAGAGAUAAGUGCUGAAAGCAUCUAAGCACGAAACUUGCCCCGAGAUGAGUUCUCCCUGAGACUUAGAGUCUCCUGAAGGAACGUUGAAGACGACGACGUUGAUAGG